AAUCAACGCUGGCGGCGUGCCUCAGACAUGCAAGUCGAACGAUUAAAGCUCCCUUCGGGGAGUGCAUAAAGUGGCGCACGGGUGAGUAACACGUAAGUAAUCUACCUUCGAGUGGGGAAUAACGUUCGGAAACGAACGCUAAUACCGCAUAAUGCAGCGGCGUCUAUGAUGACAGUUGUUAAAGAUUUAUCGCUUGAAGAGGAGCUUGCGGCAGAUUAGCAGUUGGUAAGGUAAUGGCUUACCAAGGCUACGAUCUGUAUCCGGUCUAAGAGGACGGUCGGACACACUGACACUGAAUAACGGGUCAGACUCCUACGGGAGGCAGCAGUCGGGAAUUUUGGGCAAUGGGCGAAAGCCUGACCCAGCAACGCCGCGUGAAGGAUGAAGUUUUUCGG
rnacentral:rRNA from 1 species